rnacentral:rRNA from 1 species
GACGAACGCUGGCGGCAUGCCUAAUACAUGCAAGUCGAGCGAACAGAUGAAGUGCUUGCACUUCUGACGUUAGCGGCGAACGGGUGAGUAACACGUAAGGAAUCUACCUAUAAGCGGGGGAUAACAUUCGGAAACGGGUGCUAAUACCGCAUAAUAUCUUCUUCCGCAUGGAAGAAGAUUGAAAGACGGCUCUGCUGUCACUUAUAGAUGACCUUGCGGUGCAUUAGUUAGUUGGUGGGGUAACGGCCUACCAAGACGAUGAUGCAUAGCCGACCUGAGAGGGUGAUCGGCCACAUUGGGACUGAGACACGGCCCAAACGCCUACGGGAGGCAGCAGUAGGGAAUCUUCCGCAAUGGGCGAAAGCCUGACGGAGCAAUGCCGCGUGAGUGAAGAAGGCCUUCGGGUCGUAAAACUCUGUUAUAAGAGAAGAACAAAUUGUAGAGUAACUGCUACGGUCUUGACGGUAUCUUAUCAGAAAGCCACGGCUAACUACGUG